GACGAACGCUGGCGGCGUGCCUAAUACAUGCAAGUCGAACGCAGUGGGGCCGGGUGAGUAACACGUGGGUAACCUCCCAUCAGAGGGGAUAACACUUGGCAACAGGUGCUAAACCGAUACUGAUGGAUGGACGCGCGGUGCAUUAGCUAGUUGGUGAGGUAACGGCUCACCAAGGCCACGAUGCAUAGCCGGGCUGAGAGGAUGAUCGGCAACACUGGGACUGAGACACGGCCCAGACUCCUACGGGAGGCAGCAGUAGGGAAUAUUCGGCAAUGGACGAAAGUCUGACCGAGCAACGCCGCGUGAGUGAAGAAGGUUGUCGGAUCGUAAAGCUCUUUAGUUAGGGAAGCGGUAUCUGACCAGAAAGCAACGGCUAACUACGUGCCAGCAGCCGCGGUAAUAC
rnacentral:rRNA from 1 species